rnacentral:rRNA from 1 species
UACGGAGGGGGCAAGCGUUGUUCGGAGUUACUGGGCGUAAAGCGCACGUAGGCGGUGCGGUAAGUCAGGGGUUAAAGGCUGCAGCUCAACUGCAGUAAGGCCUUUGAUACUAUCGUGCUAGAGUGUCAGAGAGGAUGGCGGAAUUCCCGGUGUAGCGGUGAAAUGCGUAGAUAUAUGGAGGAACACCAGUAGCGAAGGCGGCCAUCUGGCUGAUAACUGACGCUGAGGUGCGAGAGCGUGGGGAGCAAACAGG